GGACGAACGCUGGCGGCGUGCUUAACACAUGCAAGUCGAGCGGUAAGGCCCUUUCGGGGGUACACGAGCGGCGAACGGGUGAGUAACACGUGGGUGACCUGCCCUCAGCUCUGGGAUAAGCCUGGGAAACUGGGUCUAAUACCGGAUAUGACUCCAUGACGCAUGUUGUGGGGUGGAAAGCCUUGUGCGGCUGAGGAUGGGCCCGCGGCCUAUCAGCUUGUUGGUGGGGUGANGGCCUACCAAGGCGACGACGGGUAGCCGGCCUGAGAGGGCGACCGGCCACACUGGGACUGAGACACGGCCCAGACUCCUACGGGAGGCAGCAGUGGGGAAUCUUGCGCAAUGGGCGAAAGCCUGACGCAGCGACGCCGCGUGAGGGAUGACGGCCU
rnacentral:rRNA from 1 species